AGGCCGCGGGCUCCAUGCAUCAUAUACUCGUUCGGCAUAAACAAUGACUUCUCGUUUGACAACGAAGCAGUAAAAAUGUUUGGAUGUGAUGUGUUCUGCUUUGAUCCGAGCAUGAAUCAGGAGUCGAAACGCAUUUCAGACCAUGUCUGGUUUUACAAUUGGGGACUUUCUGGAGAGACUACGGUCGACAAGCAAGGCUGGAAGAUGAAAACUCCGAGAACCAUUAGAAAUGAACUCGGACAACACCUUAUAAUUAAAGUGUAUACUUGCAUACAUGUAGUCUGAAGUUAAUCAUUGUGCUGGCUGUGUAUACAGUACGGAAAAUGUUACCAUAAACAUACAAACAAGAUAAACAGCAGCAACACAA